CAAGCUAAUUAAGUGUUUUCUCUGGCACAUUGACUUUUCACGUCAAAAGAGCACAAAGUGCACUUAGCU
rnacentral:tRNA from 1 species